rnacentral:tRNA from 1 species
GGAGGGGUGCCCGAGUGGCUAAAGGGAGCAGACUGUAAAUCUGCCGGUCUAUGACCUACGAAGGUUCGAAUCCUUCUCCCUCCA